GAUGAACGCUGACAGAAUGCUUAACACAUGCAAGUCUUUGGCGAAGCUGUACUUGCACAGCCUAGCCAAGGCGGACGGGUGAGUAACGCGUAAGGAACUUGCCCUGCAGUCAGGGAUAACAGACGGAAACGACUGAUAAGACCUGGUAAAGUCAGGCGGACUCAUGUCCAGCCUGAUGAAAAGUGAUGCUGCAGGAGAGCCUUGCGUCCUAUUAGCUUGUUGGUGGGGUAACGGCCCACCAAGGCGAUGAUAGGUAGCCGGCCUGAGAGGGUGGACGGCCACAAGGGGACUGAGAUACGGCCCUUACUCCUACGGGAGGCAGCAGUGGGGAAUAUUGGACAAUGGGGGCAACCCUGAUCCAGCAAUUCUGUGUGCACGAUGAAGGUUUUCGGAUUGUAAAGUGCUUUCAGCAGGGAAGAAAAAAAUGACGGUACCUGCAGAAGAAGCGACGGCUAAAUACGUG
rnacentral:rRNA from 1 species